UACGUAGGGACCAAGCGUUGUUCGGAAUUACUGGGCGUAAAGCGCACGUAGGCGGCUUUGUAAGUUAGAGGUGAAAGCCCAGGGCUCAACCCUGGAAUUGCCUUUAAGACUGCAUCGCUUGAACAUCGGAGAGGUAAGUGGAAUUCCGAGUGUAGAGGUGAAAUUCGUAGAUAUUCGGAAGAACACCAGUGGCGAAGGCGACUUACUGGACGAUUGUUGACGCUGAGGUGCGAAAGCGUGGGGAGCAAACAGG
rnacentral:rRNA from 1 species